UCAGCCCGCGGUGUCUCAGAUUCAUUCUUAAGGAACUGAGAAUUUAAUCUUCCAAAAAUGUCAAAAAGACCAUCUUAUGCCCCACCUCCCACCCCAGCUCCUGCAAUACAAAUGCCCAGCACACCAGGGUUUGUGGGAUUACAAUCCAUACAGUCAUCUCGCCUACAACAACUACAGGCUGGGAGGGAACCCGGGCACCAACAGCCGGUCACGACGUCCUCUGGCAUUACAAUUCCAAAGCCUCCAAAGCCACCAGAUAAGCCACUGAUGCCCUACAUGAGGUACAGCCGAAAGGUCUGGGACCAAGUAAAGGCUUCCAACCCUGACCUAAAGCUGUGGGAAUUUGGCAAGAUUAUUGGUGGCGAGAUCUCACUGAUGAAGAGAAGCAAGAAUAUUUAAACGAAUACGAAGCAGAAAGAUAGAGUACAAUGAGCCUAUGAAGGCCUACCACAAUUCCCCUGCGUACCUUGCCUAUAUUAAUGCAAAAAGUCGUGCGGAAGCUGCGUUAGAGGAAGAAAGUAGACAGAGACAGUCUCGCAUGGAGAAAGGAGAACCUUAUAUGGCACACAGCCACUGCCCGUUUCCAGAGAAACCGCCAUCUCAUCAGUGAGAUCCUCAGUGAGAGUGUGGUACCUGAUGUGCGGUCGGUUGUCACAACAGCUAGAAUGCAGGUCCUCAAGCGACAGAUCCAGUCUUUAACGGUUCAUCCGCGGAAACUAGAAGCCGAGCUCCUUCAGAUAGAGGAACGACACCAGGAAAAGAAGAGGAAGUUCCUGGAAAAGCACAGACUCCUUUAACAAUGAACUUAAAAGGUUAUGUGGUCUGGAGGUGGAAGUAGACAUGGAGAAGAUUGCAGCUGAGAUGGCACAGGCAGAGGAACAGGCCCGCAAAAGGCAGGAGGAGAGGGAGAAGGAGGCAGCAGAGCAGGCUGGGCGCAGUCCGAGCAGCAUCGCCCCUGAGGAAGAGCAAGUGGCGAACAAAGCAGAGGAGAAGGAUGAGGAGAACAUCCUGAUGGAGACAGAGGAGACACACCUUGAAGACACGGCAGAGAGCCAGCAGAAUGGUGAAGAAGGCACGUCUACUCCUGAGGACAAGGAGAGUGGGCAGGAGGGGGUUGACAGAAUGGAGGUGGAAGGGACCAGUGACAGAUAGUCUGGCUCAGAGAGCAACAGUGCUACAGUGGAGGAGCUGCCCACAGACCCAGAGCAGGAAGACCAGAAGAAGGAGUAA